GGGUUGUGAGGUUAAGCGACUAAGCGUACACGGUGGAUGCCCUGGCAGUCAGAGGCGAUGAAGGACGUGCUAAUCUGCGAUAAGCGUCGGUAAGGUGAUAUGAACCGUUAUAACCGGCGAUUUCCGAAUGGGGAAACCCAGUGUGAUUCGUCACACUAUCAUUAACUGAAUCCAUAGGUUAAUGAGGCGAACCGGGGGAACUGAAACAUCUAAGUACCCCGAGGAAAAGAAAUCAACCGAGAUUCCCCCAGUAGCGGCGAGCGAACGGGGAGGAGCCCAGAGCCUGAAUCAGUGUGUGUGUUAGUGGAAGCGUCUGGAAAGGCGCGCGAUACAGGGUGACAGCCCCGUACACAAAAAUGCACAUACUGUGAGCUCGAUGAGUAGGGCGGGACACGUGGUAUCCUGUCUGAAUAUGGGGGGACCAUCCUCCAAGGCUAAAUACUCCUGACUGACCGAUAGUGAACCAGUACCGUGAGGGAAAGGCGAAAAGAACCCCGGCGAGGGGAGUGAAAAAGAACCUGAAACCGUGUACGUACAAGCAGUGGGAGCCUCUUUAUGGGGUGACUGCGUACCUUUUGUAUAAUGGGUCAGCGACUUAUAUUCUGUAGCAAGGUUAACCGAAUAGGGGAGCCGAAGGGAAACCGAGUCUUAACUGGGCGUUAAGUUGCAGGGUAUAGACCCGAAACCCGGUGAUCUAGCCAUGGGCAGGUUGAAGGUUGGGUAACACUAACUGGAGGACCGAACCGACUAAUGUUGAAAAAUUAGCGGAUGACUUGUGGCUGGGGGUGAAAGGCCAAUCAAACCGGGAGAUAGCUGGUUCUCCCCGAAAGCUAUUUAGGUAGCGCCUCGUGAAUUCAUCUCCGGGGGUAGAGCACUGUUUCGGCAAGGGGGUCAUCCCGACUUACCAACCCGAUGCAAACUGCGAAUACCGGAGAAUGUUAUCACGGGAGACACACGGCGGGUGCUAACGUCCGUCGUGAAGAGGGAAACAACCCAGACCGCCAGCUAAGGUCCCAAAGUCAUGGUUAAGUGGGAAACGAUGUGGGAAGGCCCAGACAGCCAGGAUGUUGGCUUAGAAGCAGCCAUCAUUUAAAGAAAGCGUAAUAGCUCACUGGUCGAGUCGGCCUGCGCGGAAGAUGUAACGGGGCUAAACCAUGCACCGAAGCUGCGGCAGCGACACUUAUGUGUUGUUGGGUAGGGGAGCGUUCUGUAAGCCUGCGAAGGUGUACUGUGAGGUAUGCUGGAGGUAUCAGAAGUGCGAAUGCUGACAUAAGUAACGAUAAAGCGGGUGAAAAGCCCGCUCGCCGGAAGACCAAGGGUUCCUGUCCAACGUUAAUCGGGGCAGGGUGAGUCGACCCCUAAGGCGAGGCCGAAAGGCGUAGUCGAUGGGAAACAGGUUAAUAUUCCUGUACUUGGUGUUACUGCGAAGGGGGGACGGAGAAGGCUAUGUUGGCCGGGCGACGGUUGUCCCGGUUUAAGCGUGUAGGCUGGUUUUCCAGGCAAAUCCGGAAAAUCAAGGCUGAGGCGUGAUGACGAGGCACUACGGUGCUGAAGCAACAAAUGCCCUGCUUCCAGGAAAAGCCUCUAAGCAUCAGGUAACAUCAAAUCGUACCCCAAACCGACACAGGUGGUCAGGUAGAGAAUACCAAGGCGCUUGAGAGAACUCGGGUGAAGGAACUAGGCAAAAUGGUGCCGUAACUUCGGGAGAAGGCACGCUGAUACGUAGGUGAAGUCCCUUGCGGAUGGAGCUGAAAUCAGUCGAAGAUACCAGCUGGCUGCAACUGUUUAUUAAAAACACAGCACUGUGCAAACACGAAAGUGGACGUAUACGGUGUGACGCCUGCCCGGUGCCGGAAGGUUAAUUGAUGGGGUUAGCGGUAACGCGAAGCUCUUGAUCGAAGCCCCGGUAAACGGCGGCCGUAACUAUAACGGUCCUAAGGUAGCGAAAUUCCUUGUCGGGUAAGUUCCGACCUGCACGAAUGGCGUAAUGAUGGCCAGGCUGUCUCCACCCGAGACUCAGUGAAAUUGAACUCGCUGUGAAGAUGCAGUGUACCCGCGGCAAGACGGAAAGACCCCGUGAACCUUUACUAUAGCUUGACACUGAACAUUGAGCCUUGAUGUGUAGGAUAGGUGGGAGGCUUUGAAGUGUGGACGCCAGUCUGCAUGGAGCCGACCUUGAAAUACCACCCUUUAAUGUUUGAUGUUCUAACGUUGGCCCCUAAUCGGGGUUGCGGACAGUGUCUGGUGGGUAGUUUGACUGGGGCGGUCUCCUCCUAAAGAGUAACGGAGGAGCACGAAGGUUGGCUAAUCCUGGUCGGACAUCAGGAGGUUAGUGCAAUGGCAUAAGCCAGCUUGACUGCGAGCGUGACGGCGCGAGCAGGUGCGAAAGCAGGUCAUAGUGAUCCGGUGGUUCUGAAUGGAAGGGCCAUCGCUCAACGGAUAAAAGGUACUCCGGGGAUAACAGGCUGAUACCGCCCAAGAGUUCAUAUCGACGGCGGUGUUUGGCACCUCGAUGUCGGCUCAUCACAUCCUGGGGCUGAAGUAGGUCCCAAGGGUAUGGCUGUUCGCCAUUUAAAGUGGUACGCGAGCUGGGUUUAGAACGUCGUGAGACAGUUCGGUCCCUAUCUGCCGUGGGCGCUGGAGAACUGAGGGGGGCUGCUCCUAGUACGAGAGGACCGGAGUGGACGCAUCACUGGUGUUCGGGUUGUCAUGCCAAUGGCACUGCCCGGUAGCUAAAUGCGGAAGAGAUAAGUGCUGAAAGCAUCUAAGCACGAAACUUGCCCCGAGAUGAGUUCUCCCUGACUCCCUGAGAGUCCUGAAGGAACGUUGAAGACGACGACGUUGAUAGGCCGGGUGUGUAAGCGCAGCGAUGCGUUGAGCUAACCGGUACUAAUGAACCGUGAGGCUUAACCUUACAACGCCGAAG
rnacentral:rRNA from 1 species